rnacentral:rRNA from 1 species
GACGAACGCUGGCGGCGUGCUUAACACAUGCAAGUCGAACGGUGAAGCGAGUGCUUGCACUCGUGGAUCAGUGGCGAACGGGUGAGUAACACGUGAGUAACCUGCCCAUCACUCUGGGAUAAGCACUGGAAACGGUGUCUAAUACUGGAUACGACCAACCCUUGCAUGGGGUGUUGGUGGAAAGAUUUAUCGGUGAUGGAUGGACUCGCGGCCUAUCAGCUCGUUGGCGGGGUAAUGGCGCACCAAGGCGACGACGGGUAGCCGCCAUGAGAGGGUGACCGGCCACACGGGGACUGAGACACGGCCCAGACUCCUACGGGAGGCAGCAGUGGAGAAUAUUGCACAAUGGGCGAAAGCCUGAUGCAGCGACGCCGCGUGAGGGAUGACGGCCUUCGGGUUGUAAACCUCUUUCAGCAGGGAAGAAGCGAAAGUGACGGUACCUGCAGAAGAAGCACCGGCUAACUACGUG